rnacentral:rRNA from 1 species
GACGGGGGAUGCAAGUGUUAUCCGGAAUCACUGGGCGUAAAGCGUCUGUAGGUGGUGAUGCAAGUCACUGGUGCAAAACUCUGGCUCAACCGGAGGAAAGACAGUGAAACUGCAUGACUAGAGCGUGGGAGAGGUAGAAGGAAUUCCCUGAGUAGCGGUGAAAUGCGUAGAUACAGGGAAGAACACCGGAAGCGAAAGCGUUCUACUGGAACACAACUGACACUGAGAGACGAAAGCUAGGGGAGCGAAUGGG